rnacentral:lncRNA from 1 species
GAAGAUAGUUGCUCCUAGUCGUUGCUCAUCCCAAUAGAUGGGUCGUUGCUCCUCAUGACAAAAGUGAUAAAGGACUAUUUAGACUCCGUCAGGAGUUUCAACCAAUAUCGUUUGGCUAAGACGAAAUAAGAGAAAAGAUAGGAUAAAAGACUAAAAGUCUUAUUGAAAUUUUUCAAAGAUUGAAAAGUGUUUUCUAAUAACCAAGAGAGGCUAUUUAUAAUAGAAAUAAAACCCUAAUAUGUAAAAUUAUGAAAAUACCUAAAAUAUCUAAAAAAAU